UCCCUGAUGGUUCAGUGGUUAAGACUUCCCCUUCCAAUGGAGGGGAUACAGGUUCAAUCCCUGGUCGGGGAG
rnacentral:tRNA from 1 species